UGGGGAAUAUUGCACAAUGGGCGCAAGCCUGAUGCAGCCAUGCUGCGUGUGUGAAGAAGGCCUUCGGGUUGUAAAGCACUUUCAGCGAGGAGGAAGGCGUUAAGGUUAAUAACCUUGGCGAUUGACGUUACUCGCAGAAGAAGCACCGGCUAACUCCGUGCCAGCAGCCGCGGUAAUACGGAGGGUGCAAGCGUUAAUCGGAAUUACUGGGCGUAAAGCGCACGCAGGCGGUUUGUUAAGUCAGAUGUGAAAUCCCCGAGCUUAACUUGGGAACUGCAUUUGAAACUGGCAAGCUAGAGUCUUGUA
rnacentral:rRNA from 1 species